AGGAAAGACGAAUAACGAGUGAAACUCCGAUGUCCGAGUGCUUUCGAAUGCACCACGUAAACGUCACGUCCUGUACAGUCUAUGCUGCUGCAGAUAGGAGGCGACAUGACUCUCCUGAGGGGGAUGCUCUUAGACCUCACUCAUGUGGAUGACAGCUGGACUUCGGUGUGGCCGGCAAAACGCGAAAGAGACAGUAAAGAAUGAAGAGGAAGGGAACCACCACCAGCUUUUCCAAGCCUAAAAGAAGAGAGGAGGAAGAACAUCCCAGAGAGGAGAUGGAGGAGGAAGAGUUAAGAGAAAGAAAUGAAGGCAUGCAGAGCUCAGACAGCGAAAGACCAAAGAACUACAGACUCUUCACAACCUGCUCAAACUCUUGGUACAGGACCUCACCACACGGGUCAAGAAAGUUUCUGUCUCAUUUCUACUCUGAAGAUCACCUUCUCCUGCUCAAAUUGCUGACAAAUGUUUCUGCUGCUCUAAAGUCUGGUCUCCAGAACUUCCUAUAAACUCUCAAAGUGUCUUCUGCUGCAGGUUGCUUUGUAGAACUGUUACAGAAAACCUCACUAAACCACAUGGAGGUGCCUCAAGAUAGUCGUCCAAAUGAAACCGUACAAAAACCAAACUAGCACAACCCAAACACUAAAGUCUCCUGCAGCCUACCAGAGAACCUCUGAGAACAGAGAAUCAGGACAGGAACUCUUACCUUCUGG
ensembl:lncRNA